GAAUUCAACUCCUACGGGAGGCAGCAGUGGGGAAUUUUGGACAAUGGGCGCGAGCCUGAUCCAGCAAUGCCGCGUGCAGGAUGAAGGCCUUCGGGUUGUAAACUGCUUUUGUACGGAACGAAACGGCCCUUUCUAAUAAAGAGGGCUAAUGACGGUACCGUAAGAAUAAGCACCGGCUAACUACGUGCCAGCAGCCGCGGUAAUACGUAGGGUGCGAGCGUUAAUCGGAAUUACUGGGCGUAAAGCGUGCGCAGGCGGUUAUGUAAGACAGAUGUGAAAUCCCCGGGCUCAACCUGGGACCUGCAUUUGUGACUGCAUAGCUAGAGUACGGUAGAGGGGGAUGGAAUUCCGCGUGUAGCAGUGAAAUGCGUAGAUAUGCGGAGGAACACCGAUGGCGAAGGCAAUCCCCCGGACCUGUACUGACGCUCAUGCACGAAAGCGUGGGGAGCAAACAGGAUUAGAUACCCGUGUAGUCCAGGCGUU
rnacentral:rRNA from 1 species